GGACUACUGGGGUAUCUAAUCCUGUUUGCUCCCCACGCUUUCGCGUCUCAGCGUCAGCAACGAUCCAGAGGGCCGCCUUCGCCGCCGGUGUUCCUCCUGAUAUCUACGCAUUUCACCGCUACACCAGGAAUUCCACCCUCCUCUAUCGCGCUCUAGCUUGCUAGUUUCGGAUGCACUUCUGGGGCUGAGCCCCAGGCUUUCACACCCGACUUGACAAACCGCCUACACGCCCUUUACGCCCAGUCAAUCCGAACAACGCUUGCACCCUCCGUCUUACCGCGGCUGCUGGCAC
rnacentral:rRNA from 1 species